rnacentral:rRNA from 1 species
GAUGAACGCUGGCGGCGUGCCUAAUACAUGCAAGUCGAGCGAACAGACGAGGAGCUUGCUCCUCUGACGUUAGCGGCGGACGGGUGAGUAACACGUGGAUAACCUACCUAUAAGACUGGGAUAACUUCGGGAAACCGGAGCUAAUACCGGAUAAUAUAUUGAACCGCAUGGUUCAAUAGUGAAAGACGGUUUUGCUGUCACUUAUAGAUGGAUCCGCGCCGCAUUAGCUAGUUGGUAAGGUAACGGCUUACCAAGGCAACGAUGCGUAGCCGACCUGAGAGGGUGAUCGGCCACGCUGGAACUGAAACACGGUCCAGACUCCCACGGGAGGCAGCAGUAGGGAAUCUUCCGCCAUGGGCGAAAGGUUUGCGGAGCAACGCCCCGUGGGUUAUGAAGGUCUUCGGAUCGUAAAACUCUGUUAUUAGGGAAAAACAAAUGUGUAAGUAACUAUGCACGUCUUGACGGUACCUAAUCAGAAAGCCACGGCUAACUACGUG